AACAUGCCCGAGGUAGUCUGGAUUUCAUGACUACGAUGCGUUCCACGCAUUAAUCCAACCCCUAGUUCGCAAAGCUUUCGGAAGCGCGAACGGUUGAUCAGAUUAUCUGAUUGAUGAAUGC
rfam:Pseudomonas syringae pv. pisi str. 1704B contig1426.1, whole genome shotgun sequence.